rnacentral:rRNA from 1 species
UACGUAGGGUGCGAGCGUUGUCCGGAAUUACUGGGCGUAAAGAGCUCGUAGGUGGUUUGUCGCGUUGUUCGUGAAAACUCACAGCUCAACUGUGGGCGUGCGGGCGAUACGGGCAGACUGGAGUACUGCAGGGGAGACUGGAAUUCCUGGUGUAGCGGUGGGAAUGCGCAGAUAUCAGGAGGAACACCGGUGGCGAAGGCGGGUCUCUGGGCCGAUACUGACGCUGAGGAGCGAAAGCGUGGGGAGCGAACAGG